rnacentral:ncRNA from 1 species
CGAGGAAGGGCGUAGCAAGCGACGAAAUGCUUCGGGGAGUUGAAAAUAAGCAUAGAUCCGGAGAUUCCCAAAUAGGUCAACCUUUUAAACUGCCCUUUACAUCUACGAAAUUUAUCAAGAAAG